rnacentral:rRNA from 1 species
AUUAGAUAAAAAACCAAUGCCCUCCGGGACUCUUUGGUGAUUCAUGAUAACUUAACGGAUCGCAUGGCCUUGCGCCGGCGACGGUUCAUUCAAAUUUCUGCCCUAUCAACUUUCGAUGGUAAGGUAUUGGCUUACCAUGGUUUCAACGGGUAACGGGGAAUUAGGGUUCGAUUCCGGAGAGGGAGCCUGAGAAACGGCUACCACAUCCAAGGAAGGCAGCAGGCGCGCAAAUUACCCCAUCCCGACACGGGGAGGUAGUGACAAUAAAUACUGAUACAGGGCUCUUUUGGGUCUUGUAAUCGGAAUGAGUACAAUUUAAACCCCUUAACGAGGAACAAUUGGAGGGCAAGUCUGGUGCCAGCAGCCGCGGUAAUUCCAGCUCCAAUAGCGUAUAUUAAAGUUGUUGCAGUUAAAAAGCUCGUAGUUGAAACUUGGGCCUGGCUGGCCGGUCCGCUCACCGCGUGUACUGGUCCGGCCGGGCCUUUCCUUCUGGAGAGCCCAUGCCCUUCACUGGG